rnacentral:rRNA from 1 species
AUGGAAAUGGACAAGCACGGUCGACCUCUGCUUGCUCUGCUUUCGCUACUCCUCUGCAUCUCCCUGCUCCGGGCCAGCUCGGCGGCUUCCGUCACCGCCGGCAACCCCGACGGCACGGAGCUCUGGGGAUUCGUCGAAGUCCGACCAAAGGCCCACCUGUUCUGGUGGUACUACAAGAGCCCCCAGAGGGUGUCGACGCCGUCCAGGCCAUGGCCGACCGUCCUCUGGCUACAGGGCGGUCCCGGAGCGUCGGGGGUGGGCAUCGGCAACUUCAUGGAGAUCGGGCCCCUCGACGUCAACCUGAAGCCUCGAAACUCGACGUGGCUGCAGAAGGCCGACCUCAUCUUCGUGGACAACCCUGUGGGGGUCGGGUACAGUUACGUUGAGGACGACAGCCUGCUGGUGACGACUGACUGGCAGGCGGCCACGGACGCCACCACGCUGCUCAAGGCGCUCGUCAAGGAGCUGCCCACCCUGCAGCAGGGGAGCCCCCUCUUCCUUGUCGCCGAGUCCUACGGCGGAAAGUACGCGGCCACACUCGGCGUCUCCGUCGCAAGGGCCGUCCGUGCCGGCGACCUCAAGAUCAAGCUCGCAGGCGUCGCGCUCGGGGAUAGCUGGGUCUCGCCGGAGGAUUUCACGCUCGCUUACGCGCCGCUGCUCCUGGAGGUUUCGAGGCUCGACGACAACGCCGGCGACGCCGCCAAGAAGAAGGCGGCGACGGUGAAGGAGCAAAUCGCGGCCGGGCGGCUGGCCGACUCGCAGGGGUCGUGGUCGGAGCUGUUGGAUUUCAUUGACUCCAAGAGCGCCAGCGUCGACAUGUACAAUUUCCUGCUCGACGCCGGCAUGGACCCGGUGGCGGCGGACCUACCGGCGACCUCGUCGGCUCCGACGACGUCGAGCAACGCGCAAGUGAUGAAGUACUCGACGUACCUCGGCGGCAGCCAUGAGGAAGCCGGCUCCAACACCACCAACACCCUCGGCGGCAUCAUGAACGGGGUCAUCAAGGAGAAGCUCAAGAUCAUCCCCAAAGACCACGAGUGGCACGAGCUGUCCGAUCCCGUCUACAACGCGCUGGUCAACGACUUCAUGAAGCCACGGAUCGACGAGGUUGACGAGCUGCUGUCUUACGGUGUAGAUGUCACGGUUUAUAAUGGCCAGAUGACCCAACUUUAUGAAGCUCGACGUGAUUUGCUCGACCAAGGGCGCGGAGGCAUGGGUGCAAAAGCUCAAAUGGGACGGGCUGAAGAACUUCCUGAGCCUGCCGCGGCAGCCUCUGUCCUGCGGAUCAUCCAAGGUCACCAAGGCCUUCGUCAGGUCCUACAAGAACCUGCAUUUCUACUGGAUCCUCGGCGCUGGCCACUUCGUGCCUGCCGACCAGCCUUGCAUUGCGCUGAGCAUGAUCGCUGGCAUAACCCACUCUCCAGCCGGCUAGGUGAGGAGGAGGACCCGGAUCAGAUCCUGUCUGCCGGGUAG